CGGGACACGUGGUAUCCUGUCUGAAUAUGGGGGGACCAUCCUCCAAGGCUAAAUACUCCUGACUGACCGAUAGUGAACCAGUACCGUGAGGGAAAGGCGAAAAGAACCCCGGCGAGGGGAGUGAAAAAGAACCUGAAACCGUGUACGUACAAGCAGUGGGAGCACGCUUCGGCGUGUGACUGCGUACCUUUUGUAUAAUGGGUCAGCGACUUAUAUUCUGUAGCAAGGUUAACCGAAUAGGGGAGCCGAAGGGAAACCGAGUCUUAACUGGGCGUUAAGUUGCAGGGUAUAGACCCGAAACCCGGUGAUCUAGCCAUGGGCAGGUUGAAGGUUGGGUAACACUAACUGGAGGACCGAACCGACUAAUGUUGAAAAAUUAGCGGAUGACUUGUGGCUGGGGGUGAAAGGCCAAUCAAACCGGGAGAUAGCUGGUUCUCCCCGAAAGCUAUUUAGGUAGCGCCUCGUGAAUUCAUCUCCGGGGGUAGAGCACUGUUUCGGCAAGGGGGUCAUCCCGACUUACCAACCCGAUGCAAACUGCGAAUACCGGAGAAUGUUAUCACGGGAGACACACGGCGGGUGCUAACGUCCGUCGUGAAGAGGGAAACAACCCAGACCGCCAGCUAAGGUCCCAAAGUCAUGGUUAAGUGGGAAACGAUGUGGGAAGGCCCAGACAGCCAGGAUGUUGGCUUAGAAGCAGCCAUCAUUUAAAGAAAGCGUAAUAGCUCACUGGUCGAGUCGGCCUGCGCGGAAGAUGUAACGGGGCUAAACCAUGCACCGAAGCUGCGGCAGCGACACUAUGUGUUGUUGGGUAGGGGAGCGUUCUGUAAGCCUGUGAAGGUGGCCUGUGAGGGUUGCUGGAGGUAUCAGAAGUGCGAAUGCUGACAUAAGUAACGAUAAAGCGGGUGAAAAGCCCGCUCGCCGGAAGACCAAGGGUUCCUGUCCAACGUUAAUCGGGGCAGGGUGAGUCGACCCCUAAGGCGAGGCCGAAAGGCGUAGUCGAUGGGAAACAGGUUAAUAUUCCUGUACUUGGUGUUACUGCGAAGGGGGGACGGAGAAGGCUAUGUUGGCCGGGCGACGGUUGUCCCGGUUUAAGCGUGUAGGCUGGUUUUCCAGGCAAAUCCGGAAAAUCAAGGCUGAGGCGUGAUGACGAGGCACUACGGUGCUGAAGCAACAAAUGCCCUGCUUCCAGGAAAAGCCUCUAAGCAUCAGGUAACAUCAAAUCGUACCCCAAACCGACACAGGUGGUCAGGUAGAGAAUACCAAGGCGCUUGAGAGAACUCGGGUGAAGGAACUAGGCAAAAUGGUGCCGUAACUUCGGGAGAAGGCACGCUGAUAUGUAGGUGAAGCGACUUGCUCGUGGAGCUGAAAUCAGUCGAAGAUACCAGCUGGCUGCAACUGUUUAUUAAAAACACAGCACUGUGCAAACACGAAAGUGGACGUAUACGGUGUGACGCCUGCCCGGUGCCGGAAGGUUAAUUGAUGGGGUUAGCGCAAGCGAAGCUCUUGAUCGAAGCCCCGGUAAACGGCGGCCGUAACUAUAACGGUCCUAAGGUAGCGAAAUUCCUUGUCGGGUAAGUUCCGACCUGCACGAAUGGCGUAAUGAUGGCCAGGCUGUCUCCACCCGAGACUCAGUGAAAUUGAACUCGCUGUGAAGAUGCAGUGUACCCGCGGCAAGACGGAAAGACCCCGUGAACCUUUACUAUAGCUUGACACUGAACAUUGAGCCUUGAUGUGUAGGAUAGGUGGGAGGCUUUGAAGUGUGGACGCCAGUCUGCAUGGAGCCGACCUUGAAAUACCACCCUUUAAUGUUUGAUGUUCUAACGUUGGCCCCUGAUCGGGGUUGCGGACAGUGUCUGGUGGGUAGUUUGACUGGGGCGGUCUCCUCCUAAAGAGUAACGGAGGAGCACGAAGGUUGGCUAAUCCUGGUCGGACAUCAGGAGGUUAGUGCAAUGGCAUAAGCCAGCUUGACUGCGAGCGUGACGGCGCGAGCAGGUGCGAAAGCAGGUCAUAGUGAUCCGGUGGUUCUGAAUGGAAGGGCCAUCGCUCAACGGAUAAAAGGUACUCCGGGGAUAACAGGCUGAUACCGCCCAAGAGUUCAUAUCGACGGCGGUGUUUGGCACCUCGAUGUCGGCUCAUCACAUCCUGGGGCUGAAGUAGGUCCCAAGGGUAUGGCUGUUCGCCAUUUAAAGUGGUACGCGAGCUGGGUUUAGAACGUCGUGAGACAGUUCGGUCCCUAUCUGCCGUGGGCGCUGGAGAACUGAGGGGGGCUGCUCCUAGUACGAGAGGACCGGAGUGGACGCAUCACUGGUGUUCGGGUUGUCAUGCCAAUGGCACUGCCCGGUAGCUAAAUGCGGAAGAGAUAAGUGCUGAAAGCAUCUAAGCACGAAACUUGCC
rnacentral:rRNA from 1 species